rnacentral:rRNA from 1 species
CCUACGGGGGGCAGCAGUGAGGAAUAUUGGUCAAUGGGCGAGAGCCUGAACCAGCCAAGUCGCGUGAGGGAGUACUGCCCUAUGGGUUGUAAACCUCUUUUGUCGGGGAGCAAAAGCCGGACGUGUCCGGCUGUGAGAGUACCCGAAGAAAAAGCAUCGGCUAACUCCGUGCCAGCAGCCGCGGUAAUACGGAGGAUGCGAGCGUUAUCCGGAUUUAUUGGGUUAAAGGGGUGCGCAGGCGGAUUUUUAAGUCUGCGGUAAAAUCGUGGGGCUCAACCCCAUCCAGCCGUUGAAACUGGGGAUCUAGAGUGUGCGAGAGGUAUGCGGAAUGCGUGGUGUAGCGGUGAAAUGCAUAGAGAUCACGCAGAACCCCGAUUGCGAAGGCAGCAUACCGGUGCACAACUGACGCUCAGGCACGAAAGCGUGGGUAUCGAACAGGGUUAGAUACCCGGGUAGUC